rnacentral:rRNA from 1 species
AGAGUUUGAUCAUGGCUCAGAUUGAACGCUGGCGGCAGGCCUAACACAUGCAAGUCGAGCGGUAGCACAGGAGAGCUUGCUCUCUGGGUGACGAGCGGCGGACGGGUGAGUAAUGUCUGGGAAACUGCCUGAUGGAGGGGGAUAACUACUGGAAACGGUAGCUAAUACCGCAUAACCUCGCAAGAGCAAAGAGGGGGACCUUCGGGCCUCUCGCCAUCAGAUGUGCCCAGAUGGGAUUAGCUAGUAGGUGAGGUAAUGGCUCACCUAGGCGACGAUCCCUAGCUGGUCUGAGAGGAUGACCAGCCACACUGGAACUGAGACACGGUCCAGACUCCUACGGGAGGCAGCAGUGGGGAAUAUUGCACAAUGGGCGCAAGCCUGAUGCAGCCAUGCCGCGUGUGUGAAGAAGGCCUUCGGGUUGUAAAGCACUUUCAGCGAGGAGGAAGGCGGUAAGGUUAAUAACCUUAUCGAUUGACGUUACUCGCAGAAGAAGCACCGGCUAACUCCGUGCCAGCAGCCGCGGUAAUACGGAGGGUGCAAGCGUUAAUCGGAAUGACUGGGCGUAAAGCGCACGCAGGCGGUCUGUUAAGUUGGAUGUGAAAUCCCCGGGCUUAACCUGGGAACUGCAUUCAAAACUGACAGGCUAGAGUCUUGUAGAGGGGGGUAGAAUUCCAGGUGUAGCGGUGAAAUGCGUAGAGAUCUGGAGGAAUACCGGUGGCGAAGGCGGCCCCCUGGACAAAGACUGACGCUCAGGUGCGAAAGCGUGGGGAGCAAACAGGAUUAGAUACCCUGGUAGUCCACGCUGUAAACGAUGUCGAUUUGGAGGUUGUGCCCUUGAGGCGUGGCUUCCGGAGCUAACGCGUUAAAUCGACCGCCUGGGGAGUACGGCCGCAAGGUUAAAACUCAAAUGAAUUGACGGGGGCCCGCACAAGCGGUGGAGCAUGUGGUUUAAUUCGAUGCAACGCGAAGAACCUUACCUACUCUUGACAUCCAGAGAAUUAGCUAGAGAUAGCUGAGUGCCUUCGGGAACUCUGAGACAGGUGCUGCAUGGCUGUCGUCAGCUCGUGUUGUGAAAUGUUGGGUUAAGUCCCGCAACGAGCGCAACCCUUAUCCUUUGUUGCCAGCGAUUCGGUCGGGAACUCAAAGGAGACUGCCGGUGAUAAACCGGAGGAAGGUGGGGAUGACGUCAAGUCAUCAUGGCCCUUACGAGUAGGGCUACACACGUGCUACAAUGGCGUAUACAAAGAGAAGCGACCUCGCGAGAGCAAGCGGACCUCAUAAAGUACGUCGUAGUCCGGAUUGGAGUCUGCAACUCGACUCCAUGAAGUCGGAAUCGCUAGUAAUCGUAGAUCAGAAUGCUACGGUGAAUACGUUCCCGGGCCUUGUACACACCGCCCGUCACACCAUGGGAGUGGGUUGCAAAAGAAGUAGGUAGCUUAACCUUCGGGAGGGCGCUUACCACUUUGUGAUUCAUGACUGGGGUGAAGUCGUAACAAGGUAACCGUAGGGGAACCUGCGGUUGGAUCACCU